rnacentral:lncRNA from 1 species
UCCACCAUCGAUGAGGCUCCGUCGUCAUCUCCUCCUUUUCUCCCUUCUGUGUCUUCAGAUCUCUCUCACACUUCUCUCCACCUUAGGCUCCCCAUCAUCUCAUCCCGACGUAACACGGGAACGGCGGCUUCACUGAAAUUAGAUCUGCAUUUGCGUUUGUUUUGCUUCAUCUCCUUAUUUCUAAAUCUGCAAUAAUGGA